rnacentral:lncRNA from 1 species
AUGCUUUUUGAGAGGGUCACCGACAGGGCUGGGCACCUCUGCUGGAAGAACUCCCUCCUGCUAGGAUGGAGCAGUCGGUCCAACAGAGGGAGCCGCAGGAGUUCCCCGGGCCGUGUGUUGCAAGGUUCAAUCUCUUGCUGCUGGGAGAUAAAAACUGAGCCGGAAGACAACUUCCAGCCAGGAAGCACGGUUAUGAAUUCCAAAGGCUGGUGGCUUUAUGUGUGCCGUUCAUCACUGUGCCGAGCCCAGUUCCUGGAUCACAGUGACGCUCCACUUUGAGGCAAAGCGAAUCUGUGAAGCCGUUUUGUCGGAGUCCCCCGAGUGACUUCUAGAUUUGCACCCGAGCGCGUGGCUGAGCAGCAAGGCUGAGUCCGCCCGGCCCUGCGUCCUCCACUAGAGGCCCAGCGUGGUGAGCCUCAUCCUGGCUGAUCUCCGUGCCCCAGGGGCCUUGGGGAGCUUUGCUUUUUAACAAUUUCACUCUAAAAGAAUGUCGAAAGCCAACUUUCUUCCUCUGUAUAGGUCGCUCUGUAAUUACGGAUAAUCUCAGUUACUCUCCUGAGACCUUUCCUUUGUUGGUCUUUGCAGAGUGAGUAAAAUAAAAGGACUAAAUCAUUCACUUCCUGUGCAGCAUGGUGAGAUUCAGGGCGUGGCCUCUCAAUGUCCCGCCUGUACCCUCCCGGUUCCUGCGUGUAAGGCCUGUAACGUUCCAGUCCAAACCCAUUGCACUUUUCUUCUUGGGGGCAUAAAUCUGCUGGCAACAAUAAUUAUACCCAACUGGGUAAUGUCGUGUGUGGUGUGCACUGUUAGUGUGCCUAUCUGCUGUUAAAUGGGAUGGGACUUAAGCGGUACUUUUACCCUGAAAAAGCCUUCCCCUCCCUGAAGCUGCUGUCUGCUCAGAAUCCCGGAGCAUGCGUGCACACACAGGCCCAG